rnacentral:rRNA from 1 species
UACUCUUGGUGGUGGAUCACCUGGCUUGUGCGUCGAUGAAGGAUGCAGCUAGCUCCGAGAUCUAAUAUGAAUUGCAGGACACAUUGAUCAUUGACACUUUGAAUGCACCUUGCGGCCUCAGGUCACUCCUGGGGCCAUGAUUGUCUGACGGUCA